UUUACGGCAAAAGUUAAUAUUGAAGUACAGUUGGCUUCAGAACUAGCUAUUGCUGCCAUUGAAAAAAAUGGUGGUGUUGUUACUACAGCCUUCUAUGAUCCAAGAAGUCUGGGAUGAUGGAGACCUUUUGCUACCUGCUGUAUCUCCUGCACAUAGAGCGAUGCCUGGUAUCUAGAAGAGGCUCACUUAAAUUUUGUUGAAUAAAUUAAUUGGAUUUUUCAAGUUGCAGAGAUGACAACCAAAUGUAACUUGUUGACUAAAUGCUCUACAAAGGAUUCUUUGAUGCUUUUACAUUCAAAUGGGAGUUAAACAUUUCCUGGCCAAAUUGCAUGAUUAGAAGAAAAUUCUUUGAAAAUUAAUAUAUAAAAGGGAAAAAGGGAAGGAUUUGUGUCAUCUGUAUGUAGAGUUUGAAACAAAUAACUACCAUUUCCUUUUUCCCAUAAUUGAAAGCUUUUUAAAAAUAUUCAUCAAAGGCCGGGCGCAGUGGCUCAUUCCUGUAAUCCCAGCACUUUGGGAAGCCGAGAUGGACGGAUCACAUGAGGUCAGGAGUUCUAGACCAGCGUGGCCAACAUGGUGAAACCUCAUCUGUACUAAACAUACAAAAAUUAGCGGGGUGUGGUGGCAGGCGCAUGUAAUCCCAACUACUCGGGAGACUAAGGCAGGAGAAUCCCUUGAACCUGGGAGCAGAGGUUGUAGUGAGCUGAGAUCGCUGAGAUCGCGCCACUGCACUCCAGGCUGGGUGGCAAAGUGAGACUGUCUC
rnacentral:lncRNA from 10 species